rnacentral:lncRNA from 10 species
GCCCCCGAAAGUUUUUGCGACGGAGUUUUCCCUCUUGUUGCCCAGGCUGAAGUGCAAUGGCGCGAUCUCGGCUCACCGCAACCUCCGCCUCCAAGGUUUAAGCGAUUCUCCUGCCUCAGCCUCCCGACUAGCUGGGAUUACAGGCAUUCACCACCAAGCCCGUCUAAUUUUAUAUUUUUAGUAGAGACGGGAUUUCCCCAUGUUGGUCAGGUUGGUCUCGAGCUCCCGACCUCAGGUGAUCGCCCGCCUCGACCUCCCAAAGUGCUGGGAUUACAGGCGUGAACCACCGUGCCCGGCCUUGGCCGCAUGUGUUUUGAAUUUUGCUGCCCGGAAUUCACUGCGAGGACUGGGAUCACCCGUCACCCCGCCCUGGUCUACGGAAAAUGAAAUGUGUUUACUGAUAUAGAAACGGAAUAACGGCGCUGUGGGCUGGGGAGGGCCGAGCUGCCUUCAGGCUUCUGGUCUCCAGCUGCAGGGCACUCACACCUGCCCGUUAUGAAAAUGCAGACCCGCAGGGCAGGAAUUCCGAGUCCGGGCUGGAGCGUGAUCUGGAAUCCGGCUCUCUUGAAACAGCACCGCGGAGGAUUCGGAUCCGGGUGAGUAGGAAACUGCGCCUCAGCCCCUCCCACGGGCCGCCCACGUAUUCCAGGAUCCGAAAACGCUUCCUGCUGCUCCGUCACCCCAGGAAGGCAGCGCCCGCCUCUGGGCAGUUCUGAUGGAAACUGGCUUCGCCGCCCAGAGGAAAACCCACAACUAAGGGGCCAAGAAAAAGCCUCCAUGGUCCCGCCCUUUCAGUGAGGAUCCUAAUUUAUACCCCGAGUGUGGCCCCCAUCAAAGUCUGCAGUGACAGCCGAGCGCGGUGGCUCACGUCUGUAA